ACGGAGGGUGCAAGCGUUAAUCGGAAUUACUGGGCGUAAAGCGCGCGUAGGCGGUUUGGCAAGUCAGAUGUGAAAGCCCUGGGCUCAACCUGGGAACUGCAUUCGAUACUGCCAGACUAGAGUAUGUUAGAGGAAGGUGGAAUUCCAGGUGUAGCGGUGAAAUGCGUAGAUAUCUGGAGGAACAUCAGUGGCGAAGGCGACCUUCUGGGACAAUACUGACGCUGAGGUGCGAAAGCGUGGGGAGCAAACAGG
rnacentral:rRNA from 1 species